rnacentral:rRNA from 1 species
AUGAGCAGCCCCCGCCGCCGCCCCCUCUCGCCGGCGCCGCUGGACGACGACGACCUCCUCUCCGAGAUCCUCCUCCGCCUCCCCGCGCUGCCCUCCUCCCUCCCCCGCGCCUCCGCCGUGUGCAGGCGCUGGCGCCGCCUCGCCUCCGACCCCCGCUUCUGCCGCCGCUUCCGCGCGCACCACCGCCGCCGCAACCCUCCCCUCCUCGGCUGCUUCGUCCAAGAUAUUGACUCCAUCCACUUCCAACCUAUCCUGGAGGCCCCCAACCGCGUCCCGCAGGCCCGCUUCGCCUUCCCGAUCCACGCCGGCGACCCCCUCGGAUGCCGCCAUGGCCUCGUGCUCUUCCUCCGCAAUGCGGACCAGCUCCUGGUGUGGGACCCCAUCACCGGCGACCAGCACCGCCUUGACGUCCCCCCAGGGUUUGACGAGGACGACUCGGUCGGCGGGGCGGUGCUCCGUUCUGCUGCCGGCCACUUUCAGUUCCAGGUUGUCUUGGUAGGCAACAGCGAGAUAGAGCCUACACGAGCGGUCGCCUGCGUUUACUCGUCGGCGACCGGCGAAUGGGGUGACCUCGUCUCCACACCGCUCCCUCCCAAGGCUUCCAUGAGCUAUCGCUCCACCUCCAUUUCUAUGAACCAUCCUUGUGUGCUCAUCGAGGGUUCCUGUUACUGGUCGCUCGCUCAUGGUCCUGGCAUCCUUGCGUUUGAUUUGGAUAGCCAGAGCCUGAGUGUGAUACAUCUUCCAGUAGACCUGGCCCAUUACGACUUCUCGGUUGUGCGGGCCGAGGGUGGCCGGCUUGGUUUCUUCGUUGUGCCAGGCUUCAGCGCCCAAUUGUGGAAGUGGAACAGGGAUUGCGAUGGUGCGGCUUCAUGGGUGCUGGAAAGAAGUAUUGAAUUGGACAAGCUGCUUACUCUGAAUCCAGACGACGAGAGAGAGCGCCCAACUGUCGCGGGGUUCGCCGAGGAAAGCAAUGUGGUGUUACUGUGGUCAUUUGUUGGUGUCUUCACGCUCCAGCUUCAGUCAUUGCACUCCAGGAAACUCUUUAGAGUUAAACGCUGGUUUUGCUGUCUUCCAUUUGAAGGGGUCUAUACUGCAGAUGCGGAUAUUGGUGCUGGAGGCGAUGGAGCCAAACUUUUGCACAAUACAUAA